GGAGGUGGGGGUCUGGGGAACAGCAAGGGGGAGUAGUAGGUGUGAGGAGUAAGCAAGAUGAUCAGAAAGUUAGAGAGUUAGCCAGACAGGUAACGGGGUUUAGUGCCUCCUUUUGGGUGCGAAAUCAAAGGCUACCAAGCUUCUUAGCAUCCCAGAAGGAAGAGCUGUGGGCAGUGGGGGGCUGGGCGAGCAAGUGGAAAAAAUGAGAGCAAGCCCUGGAAGGGGGCGGGGCAAGGUGGGAAAGAGCUGAUGCUCGGAAUUCUGAGCCCGGAGGAGGAGCUGAAGAGGGCAGAGGUGAAGAGAAUUUUUUAGGACAGAACACCGGAAGGAUGAAUAAUAGGGUCACUGCAGGGAAGUGAGGGCUGGAGUUACCUGCAGAGGGAGGUUGGAAGGCGGCUUCAGAUUUCACAAGUGGGAGGGCUGUGGGGAGUGGAAGGGAGGUGUGAUUAGCAGUCUCCCCGCGCCACCACGGGAAAAGAGUACACGUGAUGGGCGUGUCUUUCCAGGGGAGUCAGGACCCAGGGCUUCUGUUUAAGCAGAGUCGGAUCCAGCUUAAUCUGUCAAGGACCAUUUAGAGAUUCUAGUUGAGGGCUGCGGGAAAGAGCUCCAGGUCUUCUUCUCACUGAUAAGAAAUCCCCUCGUAAGGAAUGUUCCUCGUGGAGGUUGUUUUAGCUUGGGCACUUGUGGGUCCUAACACACACACCCUCCAACACCCCUCUCUCUGGGGCCUGAUGUGCCUCAGUGUGUCAGGCCACUCCAAAACCAGGCAGCUGCUCUUUCCUUUCCUACCUAGUCCAGAGAUACCAUAGAAAAGGUGGCAACUGAUCUGGCAGCGAGUAGCCAGAAGAAAAGAGCCCUCCUAGGAAAUUCUCUCUGAGGCACUCUCUCGGCUUCCACAGGCCCUUUCAGAGAGGCAGCUGUUGGUCUUGGAAAAGGCCCAAAGUCAACACAAUAAUGACUUCCCCCUCCCGGCCAUCUCCCAGGCCCCUCUGUGUCAUUCAGUAAUUAGCUAAUAAAGCUUACUUUGAUGUGAGGAGAACCUUAUGAAAUCCCCCCAAACCCUGAAACCUGUUGGCAGGAGAAGAAACAUUGGAAGUGCUACCCUGAAUAAAAGGUUACCCUGCUCCGGGGUCCCCAAACCUCGGGGUAAGGUCAGUUGAGGCUGAGGUGCGAGGAGAGGAAAAAAGAAGAUGGUGGGAGAGGAAGAGGAAGAGCACAGUCAGGGUCAGAAGAUGGGACCCUACGAAGAAAGCAUGUCCAAAUCUCCAGCCAAUCCCAGAGAUGCCCCGCCUGCUUAUAGGUACCCCCUUUCCUCACCUGACAGACCAACAUCACCCUAGGCUGUGCUCCUGGGGGGAGCUGGAAACCACAGUUUCUAAUUACUGUUAUCAUCACCAUGGUAGCUGUGGUGAUUAUGAUGGUACUUCUGUAUCCCACAGUGCUUAGCAGCAUUUAAUUAUUGUUAUUCCUAGAGAGAUCACUGCAGAGCUUCCCCCUUGCCAAGGCUGCCGUUGCUCUUGGGACCAGCUGAAUACAACGGGCACCCCACCCCAGCGCUGGUGAUCAGACCCUUUGAACAUGGCAGUGCUGGCUCUGUCUUGUUCUGAAGGCUUUUGAGCCUUACCCGCCUGCUGCACAAACCGCUGUAGCUCCUGAUGUGAGGCCUCUGAGCAGAUCUUCAGCUGAUUCUUCCUCAUCACCAGCAACAGAAGAGCCCUGGAAUUCUGGCCAAGCUGGUGGACGACGGAGCUGAGCAAGGCAGUACCCCAGCCAUCAUGAGCCUGGGAGAACCAGAGGGGAAGAGAAAGGGCUAAGUCUGAGAGGAAGCAAGAACCCUUGGAUUCUUGGAGAUACCUGGUCGAGGCAGAUUAUGAGUUCACUGUCAUCUCCAAGCCAAAGGGAGCCAACCUUGGAAGCUCCCUGCUCUGACCUUUUGCUGGCUGAAGGCCGAAUGCUAAGACUGACCUCAAGAUGAGGCAGCAGUCUGUAUGCUGAUCUCUGCUCCAGUGUCAAUGCACAGGCCUCUCCAGGAAUGAGAGUCUACAUUUACAACUUGAUGACACCUGACGCCUAGAGAGCAAAGCUCAAGGUUAUCAUGUGGCAUCAUGGACAAGCUGCAAUGCCAGUUCUCCCUGGUUGACUACAGUGGCUCCAUGUUCUUCCUGGUCAUCUCUGUGUUGAGCUCUACUUACAACAUUCCCCAGUUCCAGCCCCAGGAAGGAAACAGUUUUCUAUGUGGCUAAUAUGGGCUCCCUACCUCUCUGUCAUCAGACAGAAUUGAGUCCACCAAUUAAAUCCAUCUGCUUGAAA